UACGUAGGGCGCAAGCGUUGUCCGGAAUUAUUGGGCGUAAAGAGCUCGUAGGCGGUCUGUCACGUCGGAUGUGAAAGCCCGGGGCUUAACCCCGGGUCUGCAUUCGAUACGGGCAGACUAGAGUGUGGUAGGGGAGAUCGGAAUUCCUGGUGUAGCGGUGAAAUGCGCAGAUAUCAGGAGGAACACCGGUGGCGAAGGCGGAUCUCUGGGCCAUUACUGACGCUGAGGAGCGAAAGCGUGGGGAGCGAACAGG
rnacentral:rRNA from 2 species